GUCGCUUUGGCCGAGUGGUUAAGGAGUGUGCCUACUAAGUACACGGGCUUUCCCCGCGAGAGUUCGAAUCUCUCAGGCGACG
rnacentral:tRNA from 1 species